rnacentral:rRNA from 1 species
CUACGGGGUGCUCCAGUGAGGAAUAUUGCACAAUGGGGGGAACCCUGAUGCAGCAACGCCGCGUGGAGGAUGACGCAUUUCGGUGUGUAAACUCCUUUUAUAUGUCAAGAAAAUGACGGUAGCAUAUGAAUAAGCGCCGGCUAACUCCGUGCCAGCAGCCGCGGUAAUACGGAGGGCGCAAGCGUUACUCGGAAUCACUGGGCGUAAAGGACGCGUAGGCGGGUUGAAAAGUCAGGUGUGAAAGCCUACAGCUUAACUGUAGAACUGCACUUGAAACUCUCAACCUAGAGUAUGGGAGGGGCAGAUGGAAUUAGUGGUGUAGGGGUAAAAUCCGUAGAUAUCACUAGGAAUACCUAAAGCGAAGGCGAUCUGCUGGAACAUUACUGACGCUAAGGCGUGAAAGCGUGGGGAGCAAACAGGAUUAGAUACCCGUGUAGUC